rnacentral:rRNA from 1 species
CUGGAUUUGACAUCUCCUGACAACCGUAGAGAUACGGCUUCUGUAGCAAUACAGCAGGAAGACAGGUGCUGCAUGGCUGUCGUCAGCUCGUGUGGUGACAUGUUGGGUUAAGUCCCGCAACGAGCGCAACCCUUGUCCUUAGUUGCCAGCAUUAAGUUGGGCUCUCUAAGGAGACUGCCGUGGUUAACACGGAGGAAGGUGGGGAUGACGUCAAGUCCUCAUGGCCUUUAUAUCCAGGGCGACACACGUGAUACAAUGGACGGUACAGAGGGAAGCCAAGAAGCGAUUCGGAGCUAAUCUCAAAAAGCCGUUCUCAGUUCGGAUUGGAGUCUGCAACUCGACUCCAUGAAGUUGGAAUCGCUAGUAAUCGCGGAUCAGCACGCCGCGGUGAAUACGUUCCCGGGCCUUGUACACACCGCCCGUCACACCAUGGGAGCUGACUCAACCAGAAGACGGCCAGGCUAACCGCAAGGAAGCCUCCGGCGAAGGUGGGGUUGGUGACUGGGGUG